GAUUGAAGAUACAUCAUGAGAUGCAACUGGGACACAUCAUCAGUGAUGUUCCUGAGUUCAUCGGACGUUUCGGGUCUUUCAACAUCAUACGUCCUCCCUCAGGUGACCCAGCCUAGGGUUGAUCAGACCCUGGCUUGUGUCCCAGUAGCAAUGGCCCACAGUUCGCUCCUCCUGAUCCACAGCCACCUGGAGGCUCUCUCUGCCGCCUCCAUGGUGGACUUGAUGGCUGACCUUUUUGCAGCCCCGGUGAUGCCAAGUAGCGAAUAAACCUUGCACAGUGAGCGGCCAGCAAAGCCCCUGCACCCCACUUCAAUGGGUUCACACCGUGCCUUCCACCCUCCUCUUUGGCAUUGCUCGACCAGCUCCUGGUACUUUGACCGCUUCCGCUCGUUUGCCUCCUCUAUGCGAUCCUCCCAGGGAACUGUCAGCUCUAACAGGAGCACCUGCUUUGAAGAGACUGAUGAUAGCACGAUGUCUGGCCUCAGGGAAGUUGUUGUGAUCUGGUCUGGAAACUUGAGCUGCUUGCCAAGGUCAACUCUGAGAUCCCAGUCCACCGCUGAGGUGAGGAGGCCAGCUGCUGGUUUGGGCUGUGACUGUGGCUGCUCUCCAGCCCUAACAAAGGCGAUGUUCCUGUUGCCAGGUUGUUGCUUGCGGCUGUUGUUUUUGGCCACAGCUUUGGAGAUAGUUACAGCAACAGACUUCAGCACCUGGUCGUGCCGCCAGCGGUAACGACCCUCCCCAAGGGCUAUCGAACAGCUGCUUAGGAUGUGCUCCAGAGAGCCUUUCCUGGAGCACAGGGCACAGGCUGGAGAGUCGCCCAGACCCCAGAGAUGGAGAUUGGCUGGGCUGGGCAGGACAUCGUAGACAGCACGAACCAUGAACCCUAUGCGCUGCGGUUCUGCCUGCCAGAUCUCAGACCAGGUCACCUUCCUCUCCAGCGCACCCUCCCACCUUGUCCAUGCUCCCUGCUGCUGCAUGCCCACCAUCCUGCUGGUCCGUUCCUCCUCGACCCCUAUCCGCACCUCCCUCAGGACUAGCUGUCGUUUGUCCAUGCCAUGUGCCUUCUCGUAGCGCGGUUGAGGGAACACUCCCAGCCCAGCUCGACCCGUUGCCACCGAGCCCACCAGAGCCCUGUGUCUCAGCCGAGACUCGGCUACCUCCAGACCAUCUUGAGCCCUCCACUUCCUGCCGGUUCGCACCACGAUGCCAGCUGAUGCUACCUUGGUGUCCUUGGAGUCCCGAUAGAGCAAAGCCUCUCUUGUGCGAGAGACCCUGAACUCCUCCUCAAGGCUACUGAAAGGGAGCUGGAGUUUGUUGGUCUUUCCAUACAGUGCUGCACUGGAUAGGCUGCGUGGGAAGCCCAUCCAUCUACGGAGGUAUCCGCUGAUCUUCCUCUCCAGAGUCUCUACAGUCGACAGGGGCACCUCGUACACCAACAGAGGCCAGAGUACUCGGGGUAAGACGCCAUGCUGGUAAAUCCACGCCUUAAACCUGCCGGGUAAGCCAGACUUGUCUACUGCCGAUAGCCACGUCUCAAGCUCCUUGAUGGUGAUCUGGAUUGAUGCAGAAUCCCUGAGACUACAGUCAAAAAUCUUGCCCAGGCUCUUGACUGGUUUCUCGGUGAUAGAUGGGAUUGCCGUGCCAUCCACGAGGAAGCGAAACUUGUCUGCCACUUUUCCCUUCUUCAACACCAUCGACCUGGAUUUAGUUGGUUUGAAGCUCAUUCUUGCCCAGGAUAUGAGCUUUUCCAGGCCCUGGAGUAUCCAUCUUCCACCAGGCACAGAUGUUGUGGUGACGGUGAGAUCGUCCAUAAAGGCUCUGAUGGGUGGUUGUCGAAUGCCAGACUUGGACAGAGGACCUCUGCACUCCCUUUCAGCUGCCUUGACUACCAUAUUCAUGGCCAGGGCAAAGAGGCCAACCGAGAUGGUGCACCCAGUUAUAAUGCCCUUUUCGAGCCUGUGCCAGUCAGAUGUUGUGCUCCCAGAAGUGACUCUGAGCCUGAAGUUCCCGUAGUAAUUCAGGAUGAGGUCCUUGAUCUUCCUGGGUACAUGGUGACGGUCUAGGGUAGUCUCAACGAGCUUGUGGGGUAUGGAGCCGAAGGCAUUGGCCAGGUCCAGCCAGAGCACGACGAGGUCUCCCUUGCCCUCCCGCGCCUCCCUGAUCAGCUGGGUGACAACUCCAGUGUGUUCUAGGCAUCCUGGCACACCGGGGAUACCACCUUUCUGGACAGAGGUGUCAAUGUAGGCAUUCUUUAGGAGAAAGUCUGUCAACCUUCUGGAGAGGAUGCUGAAGAAAAUCUUCCCCUCGACGCUGAGAAGCGAGAUGGUUCUGAAUUGCUCCAGCUUGGUGGAAUUCUCUUCCUUGGGUAUCCAGACACCCUCCGCCUGCCUCCACUGAUCCGCCACAGCUCCUCUGCGCCAGAUCACACGCAGGAUCUUCCAGAGGAUUCUAAGGAGCCCAGGGCAGCGCUUGUACACCUUGUAAGGAACGCCACUGGGUCCUGGAGCUGAUCUGGCUCUGGCAGCAGCGACCACCUCCUGGAUUUCCUUCCAGGUGGGCUCGCAGGUUUUGAAGUCGACAGUGGGAGAUGGUAUGUCCAAUAAGGCACUGAGGGGCCCUAGGGCUUGCUCUCUGUCAGGGUCGCUCAGGUUGCUUUCCAGGUAGUGGUCUACCUCCUCCUUGGAGCAGGCUAGACGCCCACUGCGCUUCUGCCCCAAAAGCUGUUUGGUGAAUCCAAAUGGAUCCGCUAUGAAAGCAGUUCGCUUCCUGGCUCUCUCUCUCCUGCGUCUCCUGUGCCAUUCAGCUCUGCGCAGGGUUGUGAGUUUCUUCCUGAUGGUGUUUCUGAGCUCUGCCAGUGGUGGUUUCUCCUCCUCAGUUGCUGCCUUGUACUGUCUUGCCAGGGACCGGAGCUCCUGCCGCAGUUGAUGGAUCAUUUCUGCUCUACGGUUCAAGGUGUAGUUGGGUCUGGUGGAUUUGCACUCUUCCACACCGUACCUCUCCGUUCCAUAGGUGACAAUGAUGGUGGUCAUGGUCUGAAGCCGUCUGUCAACAUCCCCCUUUGCUGUUGAUUCGAUGAUUGUGGUGACAUCCUCAUCGAACUGGUGCCACACUUUGUGUUGGUUUGCUGGAGGCCACUUGAUACGACGCUGUUGAACUACUCUGCUAUGAGCUGGAGAGCUAGGCACUUGGAGGUUCUGGGCUCUGUGGGGUGUCUCCCGGCCGGGCUCCUCCGUCGUCUCACCAGGACUACGUCCUGUGCGCUGUGUUGCACUCUCCUGGACCAAGCAUUUCAUUCGGCCUUGAUGGAUUUUUAGGCCGAGCGCGUUCUUGCAAACCUUGCCACAUUUGCAUCUUGCGAUUGUCGUCGUCGAUAAGCCGUUUGCCAAAGUCGUCAACGUUGUGUCCGUCCUGUUGGGGAACUCAUCCUCCCCCCCUCUCGGGUUCCCCUGGGGGUAUUUCUCAGUAGGUCGUUCUGUAGCUUGGUAGGGUUCUCCCUCACGGGAGAAACAAGUUGGGAUGCUACCCCUUCCUGCCCCGGUUGCCGUCUUUCCGGGCUGUCAAUUGUCUCUCCAAUCGUCACCAGCCUGUUCCUGGUCGUCGCCCAGCCUGUUCCUGGGUGUCACUGGCUAAGCCAGAUUCGAAUGAUUGAAGAUACAUCAUGAGAUGCAACUGGG